UGAAAUUGUCUGUUCUCCUUUUAUUCUC
rnacentral:piRNA from 1 species